CCCUUUCCAAAUAAUUCUUUAAUCGUCUCUUUUCAAAAAGAUCACUGAUUAGUCUAGGUCUAGUUAGUAAACUAAGAUCCACCAUGACAGUCUAAUAACUACAUCUAGGGGUAUUCGAUGGGAAGUUUUACCCAAAUUACUGGGCCACGGUUGUGGCCACUGAUGUUGUGGACUACCUAUAAUAUUCUAAGAAUACGUUUUUUAAUUGAAUUCUAGACUAGACUUACGUCUAACUUACAGUGAUGCCUUCAAACUUCAAUCAGACUACACUACUAGACUACAGACAUUAUACUAUUAAAGUAUUAUACUCAAUAUAAAUAUAGUACUGAUACUCAGUGAUAGUAUGUGAGAAAACUGUCUAAGAUCAGACAGUAUGAUAAUGAGUAUGGAGACAGACUGUGCAAUGCUCAGAAUGCUGGUGGCGAUUUUAUUGUUUACCAUGGAGUUGUCUACUUUUCAAAUUUUACUGACCAAGUUUUGUAUAGUGACUGAUCCAUCUGCAGUUUCCGAACCAGUAACUGAUAUCUCAAAAAAAUAUUGCUUUACUGAUGGUGUCUGGUCACCUCAGAGGAUCAACAUGAUUUGUUCAUUGAAAGACACUUGAAGGUGUAAGUUGUAAAAGGUUUUGAAAGACUUGCCAAAGCAAGGCAUUCUUGACAGGAAUAAACAUUGGGAGCAGCUCUAGCUGACUCAGCUCAGAGGAUGACAUCACAGCUAAUUGACAUAUGCCUCAGAAAUAUGGACAGUGUACAGUAAACAUGCAAAGAAACUAAACCAUUUUCACAUGACAUGUCUGAGAAAAAUACUAAAUGUCAAAUGGCAAGACAAAAUACCAGAGUGUGUCUGCAAAGCAUCCACACAAUCCUGAUGCAGUCCCAGCUGUGAUGGGCAGGUCACGUCUACAGAAUGGAAGACCACCGCAUCCCUAAACGACUCCUGUAUGGCCAACUAAGCAAAGGAAAGCGCUUGCAAGGUGGUCAAAGAAAGCGCUUCAGGGACACCCUCAAUGCUUCUCUGAAGGCGUUCAGCAUAGACCCAGGCACCUGGGAGACAGAGGCACAUGACAGAGCAUCAUGGCGUCGCUGGCAGAAGAAAAACGCCAGAAAAGAAAAGCAAGGCCCACGACACUAGCUCCAGCUGGAAUAACCUGCCCAGUGUGCAGCCGAACAUUCCGGGCUCACAUAGGUCUCACCAGCCACAUGAGGAGGCAUAAAACCCCAGUGCAAAGCCCUCAGCCCCCUUGAUGACAAAAUGGUCAUCAUUGAACCACGAUGGACGAACUAUAAGUUGCAAUCUGUCUUGUGAACGAAUUGUGUGUCCCCUUACCUGUCAAUUCUGUUUAGUGAUGGUCAAGCUCAACUGAUAUUAUUCUAAGCAGCUUUUAUUCUGAGAAUCAUUCAACCACAGAAGCUGUAAGGGAUAUCUGAAAUCCAUUGCUUACUUGUCUAGCAGAAAGAUUUCUAUCCGUUUAGUGAUAAAAGAUUGAGAUUAAUUGUAUACAACUUUUUCUAGUCACUAAAUAACACACUUUUAUGCUCAAGCAAUACUGUUCAUGAAUGGUUUAGUUUUCUUGAUGCUGAGAGUGUUCAUGAAAGAGGGAUCAAAGGUCAAUUUGGGUGUUUUUUAAGACAACUUGCAAUGUUUAUUAAUUUUAAUUUACCAGGUACCUAUUAUUCAUUUACUUUGGAUUUUAAGAUAUUUGUCAUUGAAAUAAGUACAGUUAAUUAACCACAGGAUUCCAUUAAAAAAUUUAAAUGCUAAAGAAAUUUAAAAAGAAAACAUUUCAUUUUUGAGAUUACAUCAUCUUUAUGUGGAAUGUUUUUUGAAUAAAUGGUACCUGUACAGGUGAUUAGACCUAUUAAUAAAUGAUAACUGGAUAUAUUUGUAUUUGAAACCACUGGCUUGUAUUUUACUUGUUACUAAUAACUUAAUUUACUUUUAAAUAUAUGCAUUAUCUUCUAUUUUGAAGUAACAUCUGUAUUAUAUAAGAUAAGAUUAUCAACUGUAGUUUUCUUUUAAGAGUUCUUUAUGAAAAUGUUACCACUGAACACUGCUAUAUUACUAGACUUUUUUCAACUAUGUUUUGUAAAUGAAAUAUUGUACAAUGGCAUAUUUAUUGUAUUACAUAAUUAAGGUUUUUAAAGCUAUAUAUUAAAAACAUCUCAUAUUUAAUGUACUCUCUGCACUGAACAAUUUUUUUUAAAGUGAUAAAAAUUUUGGUUUAUUCAUAUCAAGUUUGUUUUGUUUGUAUAUAUGUAGAAUAUGUAUAUCAUAGUGAAAACAUUUAUUUACUUGCAUUUUAGUUUUUAUAAUCAUUUAUAGAAUUCAGUGUAAAUUCAUUGUACAUUGAACCUCGUUGGUAGUGACAAUGUUAUUAAGUUGACAUGAAGUAUUUAUGUAUAGUCCUGGGUGUUAACUACAUUGUUCAUUAGAUGACUGCCUGACAGUGUUUUAUCCCAUGGGAACCAAUAGAUCAGCAUGUCAAUAUAUCUGUUGUAAGAUGUUUAGAGUAUACAACUCUAGCAAUAAAUAUUCUGAUCAAGUUUAUAUUUUUGGAACAGAAUAUGCUAAUGUGUUAAAUACAUUUUUUUAAAUUUUAAGAAUAACAACUGGUACUUUAUCCCUUUGUAUCUUUCUUUUUUUUUUUUUAAUGUCUAAGUAGUAUAACUUCUAAUUUAAUUGUCUCCCUUUUAAAAUCAACCAUCUAAAUUAGGGAUGGGCAACCUUUUUCUGUUGAGGGCCGCAUUAACUUUUUUUUUUAGGAAUAGGGGGCCACAUAUGUAUAAUUUGUAUUUACAACUUAGAAAAAUAUGCUAGCUGUCUAUUAAUUUACUUGUAUACUGUAUUAGACAUUCAAAUUGAGGAAUUAUAACAAGAUUUAGCAAUUUUUAAAACUAAUUUAACUAAUAUUUAAAAAAAUUUUGUUACUGUCUUUUUACAUCACAUUCAUUCUUCACAACAAUCCAGUUAUACUUAAUGUGAAGUAUUUAAUUGUGCAUAAUGUUCCGGAACUCUGGAACUAGCUUUACUAGUUCUUAUCUUUGUGACUGCUGUUAAAUUACAGCCAGUCAGCAUCCACUUGUUCUUCUGGUUGCAUAUGUUCAAACAAAAGAAAAUAUUCUUGUGCAUCCAAAAAUGUCAAAGUUUAGCAUCAAGUCUUUUUAAGUGUGGAAAUACAGCUUAUGCACCCUUCAAACUGCCUCUCUUUUGGGUCAUAAUUUGCUAGGAAGUAUUUCCUCGGGAGCUGAAUCAGCUUCUGUACUAAAUGGUGAAGUGAGGAUAUUCAAAAAUGGUUUAAGUUCUUGACGUCUUAACAUUUGUUUUCAAAUUCCAUAAGUCUUGUUCUUUUCUUUUUACUAGAAAUAGUUUCACCUUUCAGCAAAGGAAAAUGUGUCACAGUCUUAGUUGACAUUGCAUGAUCUAAAGUUCACGUCAUGUUAAGAGUUUAAAAGACACGUGGAAUUCCUGAUGUAGAAAACAAGAAGUAGAAUGAAUAAAGUUGACUUUGAGUUCAGUCUAGUCAAGUCAGUAAGGUUUUGCUCCCGGUCCAGGAAGGUUGGACGUUGCUUCCUGGACUGGUGUAUAUAUAUGUAUAUAGCAUGAAAGUCGAUGGACUAAUGAUUGUUGAUUAAUUAUAUUUGAGAGUUGAUUUCAUCAUGUGCUUAUUGAAUAUUAAGUAUUAUUCGUAUUGCAAUGGAUAUCUAUAGUUGGAGCUCCAGUGUCACUAGUAGCAAUUGUUCUUAUUGUUACCCGCGGACGUGAUUUGUAACUAACAUAUAUUGGAUACUUUUGAUACCGCUGUUAUGUGGAUAGGAUUGUUAUUAUUUCUUGACUUGUAGCACUAACAAGGAGUGCAGUGUACUAUUAUUAUUAUUAUGGUAAAAUAAACUUCAUGUUGUCUGCUGAACGGACUUGAGUCAGUGGUAUAGUAUGUUUAACAUUUACAAAAUGAUAAAACCUGUUUUCACUUGCUUGACUGGAGAAAUGGAAAAGCUUGAAAAGAUGCUCAUAAAUUUCAUGGAUGUGCAAGUAGCCCAUUGCAACUCUUCAUUAGAAACAUUAGUAAAAAGCCACUGUCAGUGUCAUUAAGGAAAAAAAAAUUUUUCCUUGAGACCCCAUAUUCUUUUCAAUACCUUGCCCAUGUGGUACUUCUUGAAACUGUCUGUGGCUCUGAUAAGUUUGAUCACUGAGAUGAUUAGGUCAAUAAUAUGUCUGAUAUUCACUGUUUUUCUCAGUCAAAGCAUGGGCUCCAUCAGUUGUUACACUUGACAUCUUGUUCCAAGCCAACCCAACACUUUCAACACAGUUCUACAUAAAUACUGGCCUGAGUGUGUGUCUUGUUUCGAAAUAUUACCAAUAAGCAUAAUCUUCAUUUGCUUAAAACUUUAGAGAAUGUUUAUUUAGCUUCUUCAUCAUAAUUGAUUGAUUUGAUUUUAGGCACAUCGGCACAAUUUAGGCCAUUUAUGUAUCAUAAUUGAUAAG